CCACCGAUCGUGGCUUGGGGGAUUGAGUGGGUGGGCGCAUCUUGCCGGGUGCUGUGAUGGCCUGGUUUAUGGGGCCCCCCUCUUUUCCUGCCUCCCUAUCUGCAUCAGCGUGACGUUGGGGGUUGGGCCAUGGCGGCACUUCCCAUAUAGGCCUCUCCUCCAUUUGGGUUCCACACAUAGGAAGAGACACUUUACCCCUCAGUUGGAUUAUCACGCACCAGGCAUACAUUUGCCCCUCCACAUUCCAAAAAGGGGUCCCCUAUGUACGGGAUCAUUUCACCCAGCUCACACUAGCUUGGCACUUACACAUUUCAACCCCUGGGGGAGCUUUCUGUGUGGGUCGCUGCCGCCCUGCCAUGCCUCCUCAGCUCCCGGGUGCGACUUUUCUUGUUUGGUCUGCAAUUCUCACGGCUGCACCGCCACUGUGCAGACGCAUCUGCAAGAUGAUCACUUCGGUUUUGCUCCUGAUGAGUGUCCCUAAAGGCCUGAAAUGCAUAGAGCUAAUAUCUACCGAUAAGUGUAUACAUUCAUCAACUUUUAUGGACGUUCCUUGAAAUAUACCUUUUACCUCCCCCUACCUACUUUACUUUAAAUAUUUAUCUAUCUGUACAGGUAUCAACUGUAAUGUAUGUAAAAUAUGUAUCAACUAUUCCGUGUAUGUGUAAAUAUAUAUCCUUAGACCCGGUUCACACUGGGGCGACACGU